GAAAACAUAUGGGUACCAUCAAAAUUGAUAAAGGUUCGAUUUGAACAAGAGAGACCUCUUAAUUAGCAGAGGCAAUAGUUCAUCAACCAGCGUGACCAUUCAAUUUAAAUUAACUUAUAUGACUAACAAAAGCUUUUCAUUUGACCAGAUAUAACUUGCUGAAAGGGAACAUCCCCAAAGUUAGGGUUAGGGCAGGGUUUUGUUUUUGUCUUUCAGGAGAAUGAAGUCUAAGGAAUCUGCCAUCACAUUGACUACUGCCAGUAUGCUGUUCAAAUGAACAAGCAGGACACAAAACAAAGGACUGCCAAACCUUGCCAAGACAAGGAGAUAAGGAUUUAUAUGAAAUACAAUCUGUCAGAAUGGCUACAAGCCACCUUGACUCCAACCUGAGGCUGAAGACAUCAGUUGGAACAGGAGUGGCAGAACUUUGGAGGUGCACAGUUGGGACCUGGCUUUCAUCUGUGGAAGGCUGUCUGCACUUGAAUUUGGAAUGGGCCAGUGAUGGAGUAUUGUCAGCAUGAUGGCAGGAGGCUCUUCAGGUGAUCUCCCUGUUGGUGGUAUGUGGAAGGCAAAAGUGGCAAGCAUCCAAGGAGACCACAUUGGAAAUACAGAAAAAUGAUGUAAGUUCAUCAGGAGACAUGGUUGAAGAAGUGUGUUCCUCCAUUUAUAUUAUAAAACUUUGAACAAUGAAUUUAAUUAUCAGACAAUGAAUUAUGAUACAUAUCUCUCUCAGAAUUCUGGGUUAAAACCUCAUCUGUGACCAUCAUCACUGAAACAUGCUUUGAGAGAGUCACCGGAAGCCAAUAUUCACAGGUGGCGCGAUGAACGAUGGUGUUAUUACAUGACUAAUGAUAUAACCAACAUUAAAUAAAUGGCAUUGGAGAGCUGUAGAGGCAAGAAGAUCUAUCAUGUUUCACCUCAAAAGGCACCAAAGAGCCCAGCACUGUGAGAAAUAACAGCAUUGGUACAUUUUUCUCCUACCUAGAGAUGUGAAAUUAACUUGGGUCAGAGCAAUCAAAAUAAGAAAUACAGGAAGUAUAUUUCUGGACUUAAAUAAGAAGACCUGAUCCUGGACACUGUAAAGAAUCUUCCAAUGCUUCAUUGAGACAGAAAUAUAUUUCUUCCCUCUCUGAUGUUAUGAAGAUAAGUAACUAUAGACAACAUGGGCUUGCGAAUUUCUAAACAUAUUUGAAAGUUAUGUUGUUUUAUUGUAUAUAAAGAGUAUUUCACAAUGGCAAUACACAACUCAGGGCCUUCUGGAAGUGACCAAAUAGUCCCACAUAAAGCUGGAGGCAUCACAGGAACUGAUACAUGGCAUCAGCAAAAUACUGUGAUGAAUAGUACUUUAUUGGGAUAAAGGAGCCUAAAUGUAUCUAUUUUGUUAUAAAAACAAAUGCUUUUGGAGAGAAUCGGUGACACCUGAUUGGUAAGCUUAUGUGUGGUAUGAAGAAAGUGCUGCCAAUCAUGCAUCAGGGAAAUUAAGUGGAAGCAGGACUCUUAGUGCCAGGAAUAAAAGUAUAGCAUCACUGUGAGUGUCUGGUAUCCACAAGCGCUCAUCUACAGCAGAAGCAGAGACAAGGUGCAGUAAUAACCCAGACCCUGCUUGCUUUUCCUAAUGAGAGCAUGGAAAACUGACAAUGUGAGACAAUUCACAGUGUCACAUUAGCUUUGUUUUUCAAUCUCUUUCACAACUGGUCUUCAUAAACCCGCUAAUGAGUAGUAAAUUUGACAAGUUUUACUCCAA